rnacentral:rRNA from 1 species
AUUGAACGCUGGCGGCAGGCCUAACACAUGCAAGUCGAGCGGCAGCGGGACCUUCGGGUUGCCGGCGAGCGGCGGACGGGUGAGUAAUGCCUAGGAAUCUGCCUGUUAGUGGGGGAUAACGCGGGGAAACUCGCGCUAAUACCGCAUACGUCCUACGGGAGAAAGCGGGGGCUCUUCGGACCUCGCGCUAACAGAUGAGCCUAGGUCGGAUUAGCUAGUUGGUGGGGUAAUGGCCCACCAAGGCGACGAUCCGUAACUGGUCUGAGAGGAUGAUCAGUCACCCUGGAACUGAGACACGGUCCAGACUCCUACGGGAUGCAGCAGUGGGGAAUAUUGGACAAUGGGCGAAAGCCUGAUCCAGCCAUGCCGCGUGUGUGAAGAAGGUCUUCGGAUUGUAAAGCACUUUAAGUCGGGAGGAAGGGCUGUAGGCUAAUACCUUGCAGUUUUGACGUUACCGACAGAAUAAGCACCGGCUAACUUCGUGCCAGCAGCCGCUGUAACAC